UUUAAGUAUAAAUAGGUGUCACCUAAGUACUGUCAGUUGGUCCUUUCCACAACAUCCAGGAUGAAGCAUUGUCAUGUGUAAUUUAUAUUUACAAUACAAGUUACAAUCACAUGAAUGCCAGGACCCAUGGUUUCUCAACAGAACACUACCCAAAGUAUCACAUCAGCUCUGCUGGAUUGCCUUUUUUGUAUUGCAUCUCUUCUCCAGACACAUUCUAGGUACUUUCGAGCCUCAAUUGACACAGCAUGGCUUUAUAAUAAAUAUGGCGAUUCAUUACCCUAAGUAUAAGGACUAAUUCAGACGGAGGAAUAUCCGUGCACGACAGGCAUCUAAUCGAUCAGUCGACGAUAGGACCGCUCCAACAUGUGCCGGCUCCAUUGAUGGAAACAAGGUUGAAUUUUCCGAGCAGUAAACUCCCAUGCCUCUACAACAUGUCUGAAGUUUUUUAAAGCAACAGGUCUGUGAAGACAGUCACCGAAAUCUCAUCCGACAAGAAUACCCUGACAUAACAGGUUCUUAGAAAAACAUUCCACUUAUCAGUCAAGACCAGUGGAAUUGUAUAGAUUAUUAUGACUAUAAAAGAGCACAUUAUUUGGUCCCAUUAUCCUUCAUCAGUAGCACAAAGACAUACAAAAAAGAAUAUGUAUUCAUUGUUUUGUACAAUGUCAGUCCUUGUAUUUAAAUGAAAUAUAUGGAAAAACAAUAUUAAA